rnacentral:rRNA from 1 species
GAUGAACGCUGGCGGCGUGCCUAAUACAUGCAAGUCGAGCGAACAGACGAGGAGCUUGCUCCUCUGACGUUAGCGGCGGACGGGUGAGUAACACGUGGAUAACCUACCUAUAAGACUGGGAUAACUUCGGGAAACCGGAGCUAAUACCGGAUAAUAUAUUGAACCGCAUGGUUCAAUAGUGAAAGACGGUUUUGCUGUCACUUAUAGAUGGAUCCGCGCCGCAUUAGCUAGUUGGUAAGGUAACGGCUUACCAAGGCGACGAUGCGUAGCCGACCUGAGAGGGGGAGUCGCCCCACUGGAACUGAGAAACCGGCCCAACCCCUAAGGGGGGGACGCGGGGGGAACUCUUCCCCAAGGGGGGAAACCCGGACGAGGCAACCCGGGGGGGGGAAUGAGGGCUUCGGGUUGGAAAAACUCUUUUUUUGGAAAAAAAAAAAUGUGGAAGAAACCAUGCCCGUCUUGCCGGUCCCAAAGAAGAAGCCCCCGGUAACCUCGGU